UACGUAGGGUCCGAGCGUUGUCCGGAGUUACUGGGCGUAAAGCGCGCGCAGGCGGCGGUGCUGGCCCGGCGUGAAAGCCCCCGGCUCAACCGGGGAGGGUCGUCGGGGACCGCACCGCUUGAGGGCGGUAGGGGCUGGUGGAAUGCCUGGUGUAGUGGUGAAAUGCGUAGAGAUCAGGCGGAACACCCGUGGCGAAGGCGGCCAGCUGGGCCGUCCCUGACGCUGAGGCGCGAAGGCGUGGGGAGCGAACGGGAUUAGAUACCCGCGUAGUCC
rnacentral:rRNA from 1 species